AAUCAAAUCUUUGAUUCCAUGGAGCUGCUGGAUACUGGGUUCUGGGCUUACUGCUUUUUUCACCCCCGAAUGAGUUAAAUGACAAGUGUGUUCGGCUCUGACUGGUCAUAUUCCAUCCAGAUAAGACAUUCAUUGCCUGAUCCUGUC